AUCAAUAUUGUGUAUUAUACCUUAACGGAAUUCGGUGUUAUUCGUGACACAAAAUAUUAUAUUUUUUACUAUUUAACAGUUUAAAGUGAAAAUGAAAAUGGAUUCAGUAACAUAAUUAUAGUACUCACACUGAGACAGCUGGACGUGAAGAUUGACCUCUACGAGGAUAGCCAGAUGUUCUGACAGCAGCACAUUCAAUUCUGUCACCGCAUUCUAAACACAUGGAAAUGAGUAAGAGAAACGAUAAACUUCACAUGCGAUUUGGAAAGUCUGAAAUGCAGCACAAUCUAGCGAGAGCCAUUCAAACGAUGGCUGUCGACCUCGUAGAUGAAAUGCCAUUUAGUGAAAGUGAAAUACCUGACUUCCUCAUCCAAGAAGGGUGUAUUACAGAUGACGAAUGCAAAGAAUUACGUGGAAAACCAAACAGGAAAGACCAAGUACAAAGACUUAUAAUUUUGAUAAAAGGAAGAAGUUAUGAAACAAUGAAAAGGUUCUUAGAUACUGUGAAAGGCUUUUGUCCCCGGACGGUUGAAAAGAUUUGGAAACAAUACAAUGAGUUUACGAAAGUCAAAAUGCCAGCUCGAAAAUGUCCUACUUGUGAAUUGAAAGAAAAUGUAGAUAUCAAAUAUGUAAAUGCAAAAGAAGUAAUCGGAACAAGUUUAUACGCUAUGGUCUCUGACAGUACCACGACUGUAGGAAUGCAAGAUUCGUUGUGGAACCAGGUUUUACAAGUUUGAAUUGAAAGCAAUCUCAAGUAUCUAACUGAUAUACUGAAAAGUAAAGGUCGAUAUAGCCACAUAGCAAAUUCUUUAAAAUCGUACUACAGUGGUAAACAUCAUGAAUCAAUCUGUUUAUGCUCUAGUGCAGGAUUUAGUACUAUUAGUGCACUUUCCCUUAACAACGACAUACAUGAAAGCUCAACAACCUGCUCACCAAGGAGCACAUCUUCAACUUCAGCAUCUGAUUUAAACACAGAGGCAGAAUUAGAAAGUAUACCGGGAGAAAACACAUCGCUAAAAGUUCCAGCUCAAAUACCCGAUUUUAAUAAUAUGAAAAUUGCUGGAGAAAGUAUUCUUACAGGAGAGAUUCCUAAAAUUGACCAAGGAAAAGUACGUGAUUUGAAUAAUAUCUCACUAACAACAUCUCAGUCAGGUCAUGACUCCGAAUGCAACACUGACUUAACAAGUAGUGUAAGUAUAGCUAGUUUGGAAACGGUCAUAGAAAACAAAAAUGUCAUUGAUAUUACAGUUCCUGUCAGAGGUGAACUUGAAAACCCAGUUUCGCCAGAAUUACAACGUCAAAGAUCGCUAGACAAGUCAUCAAGUUGUGCCUGUUUCAGUUUUAAAUGUUGCAGGCGAAGAAGCUACACUCCUUAGAAAAUAUAUUGUAUUACAAAAUACCUCAAGAAUAUCAAUCCAAGUACAAGGAAUUCCGAAUUUCAGCAUACUACUGUUAAAGUAAAUCAAGUUUUUUGUCUGAGAGAAUUUAAAAACGUGUUUGUUUAUUUGAUAAACGAUCUAGACAGUAACUAAGUAUUAAAAUAUGCCGGCAAAUGUUACAUAUAUUUUGAAAGUAUAUCCUUUAUAUUGGAAUUAAACUCCAUUUAUCGAUCCGUCACCACAUAAGUGGUUCUACCAUAAAGCCUGAAGGAUUGGCUUCCUCUGUCAAAAUAUUGAGAGAAAAAAGUGACGGUCGUACAUUUUGGAUCUGUAUUUUAGCUCUAGAAAAAGUGAUACUAAGUUAUACAUUUACCCUUAUGUGCCCUAAAUGUCCUGACAAUUGGUUGGUCAGAAUUUAGAAAAAAUGAUACUUAGUGUUACAUUAACCCUUACGUGCUCUAAAUGUCCUAACAGUUGGCUGAUCAUAAUUUUAUAUUUCGCAAUUCUCAGUCAUAGAGAAUUUGCAAAACUGGCGGAAUACCCUACUUAAAGUACAGAAAAACUGUAAAAACAAAAGUUUAAACCGUAUGACUCUCAUCAUCGAAAUACCAUCUUCCGCCGCGAUUAAUUAAAUCUGCUUUAUUAAGAUAGGUUGUAGAUUUAGAUGGAAUUCUACAAAACAAAUAAUGUUGGUACGAUGCUGGUUUGGUCGGUGCGGUGGCUGCUAUGAACUAAAGAAGGGUUAAUUCCAAAAUUCUUUUCUGUUCAACAUUCUAUCUCAAGCUUCCCAUAAAAGUAACUCGUAGUUCUUCUUCGACGGAUUGAUGCUAAUAAUUCAUAUUUGUAAGCUUCUUAUGUGUAAAGGCAUAAUACGGGAUUGAUGUACAUCUAACAUGAUAUAAGAAAAUCGUGGAAACAGAAAAUUUGAAAUAUAAUUGUAGAAAUAGAUUUUAACAAGCAAAUUCGAUGAACUGGUAUCACCCGCCGAGUGGGUAAUAAAUAUUGAUGGAAAAAUCAAACAAAGCGAGGUUAGGGGGAAGGUACAGCUUUGCAUGUUGAUAAAUAUUCAUGGCAGGUUUAAGAUUUAAAAAAAAAAAGAGAGAGAGAAAAAAUAAGGGGUAGGGGAUGGGGUGUGACUAGGGCGGUAGGGGUGACCGGGUGUGGGUACACAACUUCACAUGUUGAUGAUAAAUGUUCAUGGGGGGAAAUGAAAGACGUUUAAUGCAACUCUACCAAUUGGUUACUUUAUGUACAAAUAUGUGAACUUUUAAACAAUUCAGGGGCAAUAACUCUGAAAUUAAUAGAGAAAUCCUGACGAAAUUGUUUGUGCACUAUCACAUUAUGGUGAUCUAAAUUUAAUUUAAGUUUCAUAGUUCCAGGUCAAAUAUGUCACAAGUUAUGAAGCAGAUAUUGCCACAUUUAUAAACUACUAAGGGCCAUAACUCUGGUGUUACUUGGACAAUAUGACUGAAACUUGGCGGACCGCAUUUCCCGAUAGUGGUGAAUAUAUACAUGAAGUUUUAUUUAAAAUAUUCUAGACCACUUCAUAGAUUUGGCUCCGGACGGACGGACGGGCGGACGGACGAUAUGGCUCCGGACGGACGGACAGAAGUUCGCACAUUUGAUACCUAAGGUGGUCAUUCCAUUGUUUGAAAACAAUAGAAUGACCACUUAAGGAACAAAAGACUUAAGUGGUUACGGAAUGAAUACAAAGGAUUUCUAUUGUCCUAGGCCACACCUCCUACCACCCAAGGUAUCAAUCGUGUGCUCGGAAAGACGGACGGACGGACAGUCGGAGGGAUGACGGUGGAACCUUUACUCGCGGUAUUUUGUACAUAUAUUAUCUUUUUUGCGAAACAAGAAAAAAAUAUUAUUUCGUUUUGCCUAUACAAAAAUAUAAAGUUAUCCUCCUAUUAUCGAAACAU
rnacentral:lncRNA from 1 species